UACGUAGGGUGCAAGCGUUGUCCGGAAUUAUUGGGCGUAAAGAGCUCGUAGGCGGUUUGUCGCGUCUGCUGUGAAAUCCCGAGGCUCAACCUCGGGCCUGCAGUGGGUACGGGCAAACUAGAGUGCGGUAGGGGAGAUUGGAAUUCCUGGUGUAGCGGUGGAAUGCGCAGAUAAUCAGGAGGAACACCGAUGGCGAAGGCAGAUCUCUGGGCCGUAACUGACGCUGAGGAGCGAAAGCGUGGGGAGCGAACAGG
rnacentral:rRNA from 1 species